rnacentral:rRNA from 1 species
AACGAACGCUGGCGGCAUGCCUAACACAUGCAAGUCGAACGAAGCCUUCGGGCUUAGUGGCGCACGGGUGCGUAACACGUGGGAAUCUGCCCUUCGGUUCGGAAUAACAGUUAGAAAUGACCGCUAAUACCGGAUGAUGACGUAAGUCCAAAGAUUUAUCGCCGAAGGAUGAGCCCGCGUAGGAUUAGGUAGUUGGUAGGGUAAUGGCCUACCAAGCCGACGAUCCUUAGCUGGUCUGAGAGGAUGAUCAGCCACACUGGGACUGAGACACGGCCCAGACUCCUACGGGAGGCAGCAGUGGGGAAUAUUGGACAAUAGG